rnacentral:tRNA from 1 species
GGUUAUAGCUCAGUGGUAGAGUACUUGCCUAGCACAUGUGAGGCACUGGGUUCAAUCCUCAGCACCA